rnacentral:lncRNA from 1 species
CAUCCUUUCCCUGUCAGAUAUCAGUGUACCAAUAGCUGUCACAAACCACAUGUUUCCUAAUUCUCCUUCGUGUAAAUCAUAAGGACUAAAAUCUUCUAUUAGAUGUGGAGAUCUGCAUAAUUACGCCUGGCCUCUUCCAUUCAAUAUCAUCGUCGAUUUUGCUAUGAAAUAUUGAUUUAUUAUUUGCUGGGAAUUCAGGAUCGUUAAAAGUUUCUCCUUUCUUUAAACAAGAUUUUUUAAUGUCUCAUAAUCUUGUUU